rnacentral:rRNA from 1 species
GAUGAACGCUGGCGGCGUGCCUAAUACAUGCAAGUCGAGCGAACGGACGAGAAGCUUGCUUCUCUGAUGUUAGCGGCGGACGGGUGAGUAAAACGUGGAUAACCUACCUAUAAGACUGGGAUAACUUCGGGAAACCGGAGCUAAUACCGGAUAAUAUUUUGAACCGCAUGGUUCAAAAGUGAAAGACGGUCUUGCUGUCACUUAUAGAUGGAUCCGCGCUGCAUUAGCUAGUUGGUAAGGUAACGGCUUACCAAGGCAACGAUGCAUAGCCGACCUGAGAGGGUGAUCGGCCACACUGGAACUGAGACACGGUCCAGACUCCUACGGGAGGCAGCAGUAGGGAAUCUUGCGCAAUGGGCGAAAGCCUGACGGAGCAACGCCGCGUGAGUGAUGAAGGUCUUCGGAUCGUAAAACUCUGUUAUUAGGGAAGAACAUAUGUGUAAGUAACUGUGCACAUCUUGACGGUACCUAAUCAGAAAGCCACGGCUAACUACGUG